rfam:Cavia porcellus supercont2_4 genomic scaffold, whole genome shotgun sequence.
GGAAAUUUAGCUCAGCGGCAUAAGCGCCUGCCUUGCAAGCAGGCAGUCGUGAGUUCAAUCCCCAGUACCCG